rnacentral:tRNA from 1 species
GGCACUGUAGCUCAGUUGGUAGAGCACCUGCUUAACAUUAGGUUCGCAUGUUGUCCUCGGUUCGAGCCCGGGCAGAGUCA